rnacentral:rRNA from 1 species
GACGCUGGCGGCGUGCCUAAUACAUGCAAGUCGAACGGUCUUUCUAUGGAAGCUUGCUCCACUGAGAAGAUAGUGGCGAACGGGUGAGUAACACGUGGGUAACCUGCCCAUAAGAGGGGGGAUAACAUCCGGAAACGGGUGCUAAUACCGCAUAGUUUUUCUUGAUCGCAUGAUUGAGAAAGGAAAGACGGCCUUUGUGCUGUCGCUUAUGGAUGGACCCGCGGCGUAUUAGUUAGUUGGUGAGGUAAUGGCUCACCAAGACGAUGAUACGUAGCCGACCUGAGAGGGUGAUCGGCCACAUUGGGACUGAGACACGGCCCAAACUCCUACGGGAGGCAGCAGUAGGGAAUCUUCCGCAAUGGACGAAAGUCUGACGGAGCAACGCCGCGUGAGUGAAGAAAAGGUUUUCGGAUCGUAAAACUCUGUUGUCAGAGAAGAACAAGUUGGAGAGUAACUGCUCCAGCCUUGACGGUAUCUGACCAGAAAGCCACGGCUAACUACGUGCCAGCCGCCGC